UGCUGUUACUGAUGAUGAAGUUUAAACAGAUGGGAAUCUCUCUGAAAGAGAAUGAAGCUUCAUUUUAAACUGAAACAGUA
rnacentral:snoRNA from 1 species